GGAGAGAUGCCCGAGCUGGCCGAAGGGGCACGAUUGGAAAUCGUGUGUGCCUAACGGUACCGAGGGUUCGAAUCCCUCUCUCUCCGCCA
rnacentral:tRNA from 1 species